CUGUGAGACUUUGUUGACAAAUCGUUUCAUGUCCUCUGGGCAAGUCUUGGAACAUUCUCUUUGUGCUUCCAAGGAGAAUAAUAAUCUUGGCAAGAAGCUGUAGUUGUACUAGCUUUAUUUCUCUUAGCUGCGGGUGAAUGUCCCUCCAAGGGCUCCUGCUCUGGGCCAAUUUUGGAUGGGUGUGUCUUCAUCUGGAUUGUGGUGGAUCUACUCUCUAAGACUUUGCCUAUGUCUAGAAUAAGGAGAGGAGACCUGGAAGAACUGCAAGUUUAAACUCAAGAGUUACUGAGAAUACAGAAAAUACCUGCAGAGCUGGGAAGCCAAUGGGAAUACAGAAAAGCUUGCAGAAUUGAAGAAUCCUGAAAACCCCAAGUGCUUUCAAUCCAGACCCAGGCUCCCAGGGGGACACUGUGAUGGCACUCACUCCAACAGUUCCCUAGCAAAGGUCUCCAAGCUGGUCUCCUGGAGAAUGUUCCCUUCUUGGAAAGCUGCAGCUAAUGAAACUAAAAUAAAUGAUAAAAGGAUAUUUGAUUCUCAGAAAUCCCGUUUUCAGUCAAUGUGGCUAGAAUACAUGCAUUUAAUAAAGUAAAG
rnacentral:lncRNA from 1 species